AUGAAUUCAAUAGAAUCAUACUAUCAGACAGCUCCCCCAUCCAAAAGACUUGAAGGCUCUCAUUGGUGGAAAACCCACCUUAAGCUUUCGCCUAUUUAUAAAGAACCUGCUAUAUUUUCAUUUGGUCGGGGAGACACCAUUUUAUUGUGGCAUGACAGAUGGAAUAACGAGGCUCUUCCUGAAAAAUUUCCCGAUCUAUACUCUUUCGUCAUCAAUGGACAUGCUUCCUUUAAGCAGCUUAUUUCCUCGGGAGAUCUAGUCGAGCACUUCCACAUACCCCUCUCAAACCAAGCAUAUCAGCAGCUCUUGGAGUUUGAAAAUAUAGUCCUCCAGAACCCCGCUAAUUCUGACAGAGACAUUUGGAAAUGUGGGUCAUCCUCAAAUGCCUAUUCAUCUAUGUUCAUGUAUAAAGCCGUCAUGGGUUAG
rnacentral:rRNA from 1 species